GUAAAAUAUGAAUGUUUCCGGUGUGAAAGGACUAGUUUGUUUUCAACCCACCUUCUCAUGGAACCAACUAGGAAAUCUAGGUUUACAUCAUCAUUUUCAAUGGAAAGGAUUCCAUUUGGUUUUCAAACUUUAACCUACACCAAAUGUGAACGCGUUUGAGAAUUUGAACUGAAUUGUUUAAGCCAUUUUUGAGUUACGUGAAGUGGAUGCAAUUUGAAUGUGGUGAAGUCUCCGAAGGGUGCUGUCCCUGUCAAUGAAAUAAGAAGCGGCUAGCUGAUGUAGCGUCUCCAGAGUGACCGAAGAGCUAUUGGUGGUGGAAUCACUUCCUUCAGCUCGUUUGCUCAACUUCCGCUUGUCCACAAAAAUUGU